rnacentral:rRNA from 1 species
AUUGAACGCUGGCGGCAGGCCUAACACAUGCAAGUCGAGCGAGCGGCGGACGGGUGAGUAAUGUAAGGGGACUGACCGCUAGAGGGGGAUAAAUACUGGAAAAGGUGGAUAAUACCACAUACUAUCGGAUAACCCAUAUGGGAUUAGCUAGUAGGUGGGGUAAAGGCUCACCUAGGCGACGAUAUCUAGCUGGUCUGAUAGGAGGAUCAGCCACACUGGUACUAGAACACGGCCCAGUCUACUACGGUGUAAGACGGGGGGAAUAUUGCCCAAUGGGGGAAAGCCGGAUGACGCCGUGCCGCGUGUAUGAAGAAUGCUGUAGAGUUGUAAAGUACUUUCAGCGGGGAGGCGUUACCCGCAGAAGAAGCACCGGCUAACUCCGGGCCAGCAGCAGCGGUAAUUC